CAGUUUUAAAAAAGACAGGAAUAAAUAAAUUAAUUAAUUAAUUAAACAGAGGACUAGGCUGAAAUUGAGUUGAAAUUUAAGGUACAAAUUGCAAAUAAAAAAAUAAGCCAUCAAGGAUCGAGAUGAGAAGCGCUUAAAAAUAGAGGGACCAAUUGGGAAAAUAUUCCCAGCCCUUAUACGUUGUGUUUCACACGUCUGCCUCUUCAAAUAGUCCGAGGACCAAAUUGAAACAGAGGUAAAAUCCUGGGGCAGAAAUCGAAAUAAAAAGGUAACAUGGGACCCCAUUGAAGCACGCUACAAAAGCAGAGGCAUCCAAUGUGCAAAUAGACCAUUAGGUCAAAAAUGCGCGGAUCCCUUGCGGACACGGGUCAAGUUACGCGGACAAAGGCCCUAUACGGCGCCGUUUUGGCGCUGGGGUCUUGGGUGCAAAACGGCACCAUUUUGAUUAUGUAUAAAAGCAACUUUUUUUUUCUAAAAAAUCAUUCUGUUACCUUUUAAAAAAAAAACUUAACUCUUUAAAAAUUUUCUCUCAAAUCCCCCCUUUUGGUCAACCCUCGCUUCCUCAUCUGUCCGCCGUGCUACCAUUGUGGCCAGUGGCUGCCGUCGCACAUAAUGGGUUUUUUUAAAACCCUCGUUUCUUCGUAUUUUGAGGAGGCCAAAUCCUCCUAGUCUGAAAAAUAAAAAAAAAGAAAGAAACAAAGGACCCCCACCCUUUAUUGGUUCAAUUUCGGCGUCGGAUAAGGACUUCCGACGACGAAACCGCAGGAUGACUCAGGUAAACUUUUACUCCUCCUUUCCCUUUUUUAUAUUUUUAUUUAAAAUAAACUUGAAACAGAAAAUAAAAAAAAAAGGAAAUCGAAG
rnacentral:lncRNA from 1 species